UUUAUGUUGUUUGUUCAGAUUCGACAAGACAUGUUUAUUUUUCUGUGUGAAGCCAAAGAACAAUGAGAAAGUUGUCACCCCUGAGCAGUUCUUCUCUCUGUGGUUGACUUUCUGCUCUGACUUCAAGGACAUCUGGAAGAAAGAGCAGCAAACAAUUAUUAAACAUAGAAUCAAAGAAGCUGAGGAUAGGGUCAGACUAAUUAAAGAGUCCAAGUCUGUACUGCCACAGACACGAGCCAAGAAAAUUGGUGGAUUGAAAGACAGAUUGUCAAGACAAGGAAAGAUUUAAUAAUGGCCACUUUAGUAAGUUUUUGUUUUUUUUAAU
rnacentral:sRNA from 1 species